GACGAACGCUGGCGGCGUGCCUAAUACAUGCAAGUAGAACGCUGAAGAGAGGAGCUUGCUCUUCUUGGAUGAGUUGCGAACGGGUGAGUAACGCGUAGGUAACCUGCCUGGUAGCGGGGGAUAACUAUUGGAAACGAUAGCUAAUACCGCAUAACAACAGUUGUUGCAUGACAGCUGUUUAAAAGAUGCAAUUGCAUCACUACCAGAUGGACCUGCGUUGUAUUAGCUAGUUGGUGAGGUAACGGCUCACCAAGGCGACGAUACAUAGCCGACCUGAGAGGGUGGUCGGCCAAACUGGGAAUGAGACACGGCCCAGACUCCCACGGGAGGGAGCAGGAGGGAAACUUCGGCAAUGGGGGGAACCCUGACCGAGCAACGCCGCGGGAGGGAAGAAGGGUUUCGGAUCGUAAAGCUCCGUUUUAAGAGAAGAACGGGUGUGAGAGUGGAAAGUUCACACUGUGACGGUAUCUUACCAGAAAGGGACGGCUAACUACGUG
rnacentral:rRNA from 1 species